rnacentral:rRNA from 1 species
AUCGAACGCUGGCGGCAUGCUUUACACAUGCAAGUCGAACGGUAACAGGCCGCAAGGCGCUGACGAGUGGCGAACGGGUGAGUAAUGCAUCGGAAAGUGCCCAGUCGUGGGGGAUAACGCAGCGAAAGCUGCGCUAAUACCGCAUACGAUCUAUGGAUGAAAGCGGGGGACCGUAAGGCCUCGCGCGAUUGGAGCGGCCGAUGCCAGAUUAGGUAGUUGGUGGGGUAAAGGCUCACCAAGCCGACGAUCUGUAGCUGGUCUGAGAGGACGACCAGCCACACUGGGACUGAGACACGGCCCAGACUCCUACGGGAGGCAGCAGUGGGGAAUUUUGGACAAUGGGCGCAAGCCUGAUCCAGCAAUGCCGCGUGCAGGAAGAAGGCCUUCGGGUUGUAAACUGCUUUUGUACGGAACGAAACGGUCCUGGUUAAUACCCGGGGCUAAUGACGGUACCGUAAGAAUAAGCACCGGCUAACUACGUGCCAGCAGCCGCCGCAGUAA